CUACGAGUUAUGUCGAACGACAUAUGGGGUCUCACUUGGGAGGCCAAUCAUCUCUGAGUUUAAGAGAAAACGCCAAUGAAAAUUGGCUAGUGGAUUUAACAUACCUGAGCCACUCCCCGUGCCUACGGGUAUAAAUAGGCGACAGGUGCAUCCACUCAUUCAGAUUUUUGCUUCGGAGCCGAGUAGUUGAUGGGAUAUCACUACAAAGCCGUUUCAUCUUUGUGUUGUGGAGAGCUGUUCCUGGUCGGCGUGACGGCGCACUACAGCGGUGUCCCUGCAGCAGUGAUUCCCCUGGGCCGCUUCGGCUAAGAGAGCAGGACGAUUCGCGUCUUUUUCAAGAUGCCGUUUCGUCCGUUGUCCUUCUGGAUGCGGUCGUUUCCUGUCCGCGGUUGACGGUCACGAGCGUUGUCUGCAGUGCCUGGGCGUCCAACACGCUGAGGCAGCGCUCGUGGAUGACUCAUGCGUCUAUUGUGGGCGUAUGAGCAUGGCAUCGCUGCGAUCGCGUCUCUCACUCCUCAAGGGGAGUGCAGCAGACCCCUCGUCCGCUCGUCUCCCUCUUCCAUCCUCACCACCCUCGAUGGCGGGGCAGCCAGGGGGUACGUGGACAUUCCCCAGGUGGAGAGAGCGGUUGCGGUGCACCUGUGCCCACAAAACGCCGCCACUUGGAGGAAUCGUCCGCGUCUCCCGUCCAAGGCCUGUAAGCUGUCGGCGGCUCUGGCUGCCAAGGCUUACAGUGCUGCGGGCCAGGCUGCCUCUGCCCUGCAUGCCAUGGCUAUCCUGCAGGUACAUCAAGCCAAGGCGACUAAAAGCAAUGCACGGAGGGUGGUACCGACCCGAGGUUGAUGCAGGAGCUGCGCACGGCGACUGACUUGGUACAUCAAGCCAAGGCGCUAAAAGCAAUGCACGAGGGUGGUACCGACCCGAGGUUGAUGCAGGAGCUGCGCACGGCGACUGACUUCGCCUUACGGGCGACGAAAGUCACGGCGCGGUCCCUCGGGAAGGCGAUGUCCACGUUAGUGGUCCAGGAGCGCCAUCUCUGGCUAAACCUGGCCGAGAUGAGAGACGUCGACAAAGCUCGCUUUCUUGAUGCUCCCAUCUCCCAGGCAGGCCUGUUCGGCGACACUGUCGAGGACUUUGCCCAGCAGUUCUCAGCAGUGCAAAAGCAGACUGAGGCCAUCCAACACAUCUUGCCCCGACGUGAUCCUCCGGUUGCCACCAUUCCGUCGCGGGCAGCGCCUCAGCCUGCUCGUCGCCGUGGGCGCCCCCCUGCGUCCUCCACACCAGCUCCGCCCCGUGCUGAGAGUUCUUCGAGGCCGGCGCGUCGAGCCCCGCGCAGGAGAGCGGCGCCCCCCGUGUCACUCCCGGCUGCGAAGUCCUCGAGGAAGACGACUAAGCGGCCCUGACACGGGCAACUCGGAGAUGUGGGAGACUGCUCUUCAGGAGUUGGCGGAAACAGCGCCACUCCUUCCCCCGGAGGAGGGCCGGGUGGAGAAUCUUCAGUUUACGUUUCUUUCUGUUCCGCCGCUGGUCCAACGGCCGGCGGCACCCACUUUUUCAAUAAAAGAGCAAUUUCCCUCUCCUCCGAGUUGCAAGGCUCGUGGGUUGACGAUGAGCGACGCACUGCCUCCUCAUUCUCACCCACGACGCCCCCCUUCGCCAGCGGUCAAGAGGUCGCGGUUCGGAGACGCAACGCCUCUCCACGCGUCUCUGGCCAGUUCCUCCGGGAACACGGGGAGUGUGGCUGUGAUGACUCGGAACGCGAUGCUUUCUGGGCCAUCCGACACAGCUCCCCAUCGCUGCACCACUGCGGGUAUGUCGACUGUCCCUUUGGUGCCACUUGUACGGAGUUUGGGAGCGUGGCUUGCGCUGCCCAACCCGUCACGCUGGCUCAUUCGGACGGUCCGACUCGGUUACGCGAUUCAGUUCGCCCGGCGACCUCCCAAGUUCAAUGGCAUGCUCGAGACUUCGGUGCUGGGGCGCGACAUGCAACGGGCAGGCAGCUUCAGGGUCCUGGACAGGACCUCGACUGCUUUGGCACAUCAACUGUCUGGAGUUGCUGGCAGUGCAUCUAGCUUUACGGCGGUUUCGGCCGCUGUUGCUGGACAAGCACGUGUUGGUCCGCACGGACAACACUGCGGCUGUUUCGUACAUCAACCGACAGGGCGGUCUACGAUCACGUCGCAUGUCUCAACUCGCCCGCCAUCUCCUCCUCUGGAGUCAGACGCGGCUCAAGUCGCCCUGCACAAGCUCCCGUUCAAGAUGUUGACGCAGAAACGCAUUAUCAAAUGCGUUCAGCCCCAGGACUGGUUUGCAGCGAUCGACCUGAAAGACGCGUACUUUCAUGUCUCGAUCCUCCCUCGUCACAGACCGUUUCUGCGGUUUGCAUUCGAGGGUCAGGCAUGGCAGUACAAGGUCCUCCCCUUCGGGCUCUCCCUGUCUCCCCGUGUCUUCACGAAGGUCGCGGAGGGCGCCCUUGCCCCACUUUGGGAAGUGGGCGUCAGGAUCCUCAACUAUCUCGACGACUGGCUCAUUAUGGCCCGGUCCCGAGAGGAGUUGUGCGAUCACAGGGACUUCGUGCUCCGGCACCUCAGUCAGUUGGGGCUUCAGGUCAACCGAGAGAAGAGCAAGCUCUCCCCUGCGCAGAGAAUCUCUUAUCUCGGUAUGGAGUUAGACUCGGUGAGUAUGACGGCACGUCUCACCAGCGAGCGUGCCCAGUCAGUGCUGAACUGCCUGAGUUCCUUCAGAGGCAGGACAGUGGUACCACUGAAACACUUUCAGAGGCUCCUUGCUUCAUAUGAGGCCACUUCAGCACUGGUUGCACUCCCGAGUCCCGAGAUGGGCAUGGCGCCGCGGUACACAUCGUGUCACCAUCACACCGAUGUGUCGCCGCCGAUUCAGCCCCUGGUCAGACCUUGCCUUUCUACGGGCCGGCGUGCCCUUAGAACAAGUGUCCCGGCAUGUUGUUGUCACAACAGAUGCCUCCAAAACGGGCUGGGGCGCGACAUGCAACGGGCAGGCAGCUUCAGGGUCCUGGACAGGACCUCGACUGCUUUGGCACAUCAACUGUCUGGAGUUGCUGGCAGUGCAUCUAGCUUUACGGCGGUUUCGGCCACUGUUGCUGGACAAGCACGUGUUGGUCCGCACGGACAACACUGCGGCUGUUUCGUACAUCAACCGACAGGGCGGUCUACGAUCACGUCGCAUGUCUCAACUCGCCCGCCAUCUCCUCCUCUGGGAGCUCAAUCGUGCAGCCGAUGCGCUCUCACGACAGCUCACUUUCCCUGGGGAAUGGCGACUCCAUCCCCAGACAACCGACAGGGCGGUCUACGAUCACGUCGCAUGUCUCAACUCGCCCGCCAUCUCCUCCUCUGGAGUCAGACGCGGCUCAAGUCGCUGCGCGCUAUCCACAUCCCAGGGGAGCUCAAUCGUGCAGCCGAUGCGCUCUCACGACAGCUCACUUUCCCUGGGGAAUGGCGACUCCAUCCCCAGACGGUCCAGCUGAUCUGGAGUCGAUUCGGGGAAGCCCAGGUAGAUCUGUUUGCU
rnacentral:lncRNA from 1 species